rnacentral:rRNA from 1 species
GGGGGGGGGGGGGGGUGGGGGUGGCGGGGGGGGGUCGGGCGGGGGCACAGUACGGGCUGGCUCUUACGGGUGGCGAGUGGCGGACGGGUGGGGAAUGCAGCGGAAUCUGCUUUUUCGUGGGGGGUAGCUUAGGGAAACUUACGCUAAUCCCGCAUACGACCUACGGGUGAUAGCAGGGGAUCUUCGGACCUUGCGCGAUUGAGUGAGCCGAUGUCGGAUUAGCUAGUUGGCGGGGUAAAGGCCCACCAAGGCGACGAUCCGUAGCUGGUCUGAGAGGAGGAGCAGCCAUAGUGGAACUGGGAAACGGUCCAGACUCAGACGGGAGGCAGCAGUGGGGAAUAUUGGACAAGGGGCGCAAGCCUGAUCCAGCCAUACCGCGUGGGUGAAGAAGGCCUUCGGGUUGUAAAGCCCUUUUGUUGGGAAAGAAAAGCAGCAGGUGAAUACCCCGCUGUUCUGACGGUACCCAAAGAAUAAGCACCGGCUAACUUCGUG